GUCAUCCGGGCUGCCCUCACCAGCUUCUUAUUGCAAGUGACCAAGAGCAGAUGCUUAUGCCAAAGAAAGACCAGAGGGAGCUGGAGGAGUAAAGGCUGAAAGGCAUCUGCUGCUCCAAGAACGCAGAACACUACUUUCAAAGCGGAUACCUUUUUUGGAGCUGUGCAUUCCAAAUCUUGACAACUGGAGUCAAAACAGCGCCUGGCAGUAUGACUGACAACCACACAUCGGCGAGCGGCUCCAGUCACUCAACGCAGAAAGAGCUGGAAGGCUUCCACCUCCCUGCCUGCCUCCGC
rnacentral:lncRNA from 12 species